rnacentral:rRNA from 1 species
UGCUGAAAGCAUCUAAGCACGAAACUUGCCCCGAGAUGAGUUCUCCCUGAGACUUAAAGUCUCCUGAAGGAACGUUGAAGACGACGACGUUGAUAGGCCGGGUGUGUAAGCGCAGCGAUGCGUUGAGCUAACCGGUACUAAUGAACCGUGAGGCUUAACCUUACAACGCCGAAG